UUGGGUUUUUUUUUUCCCCCCUCUCUCAGGUGGAUGUCAGCUGCCACCAUUUCACCGUGGUUGCCCUUUCUUCUGCCGUGAAAGUACAAGACAGAUGGAAAGAUUCCGCAGUGGUCUGCAAGUACAAGGUACGCCUACGAUGUGUGUCUGCAUUUUUCCAAAGGUACUUGUAGUAUGGACUUUAAAGUUAACAUUAAGAAUGUGCCAACUCUCCUUCCACAUUUUUUCUGUGAAAUAUUUUAAUACGAAUACUAAAACUAAGGUCUGUUCUGGAGCACGUUACGCCUACGCCAGGUUGACUUCCCUCUGUCUAUUUCCUCUUCCUGAAAGCACGUAAUCUUCUGUUUCCGUGCGCUUACUAGUAAAUGAUACCGUGAAAAUAAUUUUGUACUAAAAGAGGGGAGAAACUGUUCGUAAGAGUUCAGCUGUUCAGAAGAAACGGGCUUUGUUUUCACGAUAAAAGCUUUAUGCUUCUGCAGUCAAUGAGUUUUUUUAAAUAUCUUACAGGAGUACUCGACAACCUUACUGAGAUAACUAGCACCUGUACUAAAAGCAAUCAAGGUCAAAGAAGAGACGCGGACAAAACAGGACAAACUGGCGUCGCUUCCGUGUGUUUUCCAGGUUUUCCCAGGAAGCAUCAGCAGCCUUGUAACUAGUGACAGUGAGUCCUGAGGUGGUUUUGCUUUAUUCACCAAACGAGCAAGAUGCAAAGCAGCAGCAGCAGCGCAAGGGCUGUAGCUGUUGCGGUGGAUCCGUAAGCGUAGAUUCUGAUUGCGUACGACCUCGUCCCGCAGCCUCCCAGGGUUAUCUCCCUGCAGCAGUGCUGUAAGGAAGGGAGGAGACGUUUUCCAACACCGGCAAGAGUGUUUACUUGUAUGCUAAGAAGGUGUUCAAAAUGGUAUCGAUUAGCCUAAAUGCUGAUUUUAAGCGUUCAAAUCGCUCUUAACUUUUAAAGGAGGUGGUGUAUUUCGAGCUGACCUGUUUACCUGGAAUCCUCCUUUAGCUCAGCGACUCUUCUUGUGCACCCCCAGCCUCCGCUGGCAGGGCGGUAUGAGAAGCUGGAAGGUCCUUGACUUAGUAUAAACACUGCUUAGCAACAACUAAA